GGACCUAAGGCGAGGCCGACAGGCGUAGUCGAUGGACAACGGGUUGAUAUUCCCGUACCGGCGAAAAACCGCCCAUACCGAACAGGGGACACUAACCGCCCGAAACCUGCCCGACCGCCCUUGUGGUGGAAGGGUUUUGGUGGAGCGCGGGACCUGAGCCUGGGAGGUAAGCGUAUUAACAGGUGUGACGCAGGAAGGUAGCCAAGCCGGGCGAUGGUUGUCCCGGUCUAAGGAUGUAGGGCAGGACGUAGGCAAAUCCGCGUCCUUGUGUUCAAUCACGGGCCUGAGAUCUGAUGGGACCCCCGUAUGGGGGAAUUUGGUGAUCCUAUGCUGCCGAGAAAAGCAUCGGCGCGAGGUUUUAGCCGCCCGUACCCCAAACCGACACAGGUGAUCAGGUAGAGAAUACUAAGGCGAUCGAGAGAAUUAUGGUUAAGGAACUCGGCAAAAUGCCCCCGUAACUUCGGGAGAAGGGGGGCCCCAACCGUGACGGCGACUUGCUUGCCAGAGCGGAUCGGGGCCGCAGAGACCAGGGGGAAGCGACUGUUUACUAAAAACACAGGUCCGUGCGAAGUCGCAAGACGAUGUAUACGGACUGACUCCUGCCCGGUGCUGGAAGGUUAAGAGGACCGGUUAGUUCCGCGCUUGCGCGGUGCGAAGCUGGGAAUUUAAGCCCCAGUAAACGGCGGUGGUAACUAUAACCAUCCUAAGGUAGCGAAAUUCCUUGUCGGGUAAGUUCCGACCUGCACGAAUGGAGUAACGACUUCCCCGCUGUCUCAACCAUAAACUCGGCGAAAUUGCAGUACGAGUAAAGAUGCUCGUUACGCGCAGCAGGACGGAAAGACCCCGAGACCUUCACUAUAGUUUGGUAUUGGUGUUCGGUGUGGCUUGUGUAGGAUAGGUGGGAGACUGUGAAGCCCGGACGCCAGUUCGGGUGGAGUCAUCGUUGAAAUACCACUCUGGUCACUCUGGAUAUCUAACUUCGGCCCGUAAUCCGGGUCAGGGACAGUGCCUGAUGGGUAGUUUAACUGGGGCGGUUGCCUCCUAAAAAGUAACGGAGGCGCCCAAAGGUUCCCUCAGCCUGGUUGGCAAUCAGGUGGCGAGUGUAAGUGCACAAGGGAGCUUGACUGUGAGAGAGACAUCUCAAGCAGGGACGAAAGUCGGGACUAGUGAUCCGGCGGCACAUUGUGGAAUGGCCGUCGCUCAACGGAUAAAAGGUACCCCGGGGAUAACAGGCUGAUCUUGCCCAAGAGUCCAUAUCGACGGCAUGGUUUGGCACCUCGAUGUCGGCUCGUCGCAUCCUGGGGCUGGAGUAGGUCCCAAGGGUUGGGCUGUUCGCCCAUUAAAGCGGUACGCGAGCUGGGUUUAGAACGUCGUGAGACAGUUCGGUCCCUAUCCGCUGCGCGCGCAGGAAAUUUGAGAAGGGCUGUCCUUAGUACGAGAGGACCGGGACGGACGAACCUCUGGUGUGUCAGUUGUACUGCCAAGUGCACCGCUGAUUAGCUACGUUCGGAUGGGAUAACCGCUGAAAGCAUCUAAGCGGGAAGCCCGCUUCAAGAUGAGAUUUCCAUACACCUAACCGUGUGAGAGGCCCCCAGCCAGACCACUGGGUUGAUAGGCCGGAUGUGGAAGCAGGGACCAACGACCUGCGAAGCUGACCGGUACUAAUAAGCCGAUAACUUACACCA
rnacentral:rRNA from 1 species